UAUGGGAAUGAUCGGUGCCGGAAGAGGCAGCGAAAAUUAUGAAAUGAUAAUAGAAAAGUGGUUAAGUUAAUCGUGAAAGAUGUCAACGCAGACGUAAAUGUAGUAUGUUUUGUUACAUGAUCUACGGCUAUUUCAUUACCAAAGCUCCUGAUAACAGAUCAAAGCAGAUGGAUCGGGCAUACAGAGUCGCCGUUUAAUUUAAAAUAUCUGCGUGAUCGCAAACGCAUCAAACAGCAAGUGUUUUUCCUUCCAACAGCACGCACCAUCGGUGGAGCAGCAGCUAACGUUUUGUUCGCCUAGCGCGCACCAUCAAGAAUUGAUAUUUU